CGAAAGAGAUAGAUCAAAAAGAGGAAAGAAGAGGGACUGGGAAGCUAGGGCGACUGAGGAUACGCCGAGGUCUAGUCCGGCUUGGCAGCGCGAACUAGAGAGCUUUGCGAGCCGCGGGGCUGGGAAGUCAGGGCAUAAGGGCCAGGCCUGCCCUCUGGUGCUUUCGGCUCCUCGGGCCCCCGACUUUAAAGUGCUCAAGUUGGGGUCGGCGCCAUCAUGACGCCUGAGACUGAGAAGAAAAAGUUACAAGUAAUAGAAGAACUAACUCAUUCAGGAGCCCGAAGAAAGGAACAGAACUUCUAGUGUGAGAUGCUGAGACCGCCUCACUGUGAAAGGUGUUCCCUGUCCAUUCUGAUAAGAGGGGGACUGCACAGCUUGGAUUGAUUCAUGUCUCUUGCUUGGAUCCUGCAACAUCUGACUACAGUGCAGGAAAUAAGUAAGGACAAUGUCAGAAAGCAAAGAGCAGGAAAUUACACGGGUGUUUAUACAUGAUUUCACAUACUACGGUUGGACAAGAAGGAACUACUAGGACAGGACAGCAUGAGCCGGAAUCAACUGUAUCAUUGGAAUAUGUAUUUUAGCAACUGACUCUCCUAUGAAAGCAACAGUAAAUUAACAGAGGGUCAAACAACUCAAGAUUCUGUCAGUAAUUAGUUGUUGUGAUGUAUUCAUUGACUUGACUAUCCUGAAGGUUACCCUGACAGCUGGAUUCUGAGUGAGUUCUUCAGGUUGCUUGAGGAAAGGCUAACAUCUGAGUCAGUGAGCACUAUGGCUGACUCUUGGAUAUCAUCUGUAACCCUAUUCCCUUGACAAUGAAUAACACUGAAUUCAAUUAAAAUCUGACCCAAACAAGAAGGAGCCUGAAGCUACAGUCUGUCUACAUGAAAAACAAAUUGGGAACUCAGUAGGAAAAGACACUUGCCUCCUAACCUGACCACCAGGGUUCUAUUCCCUAGACCAGCAUGGUUGAAGAGAAGACAAACUCCCAUAAGGUCUCCUCUGGCUUCAACACUGUCCUCAGGGUCUGCAUCUGGCCACACAUACACAUGUUACCUAAUUCAAUCUUUCAUUAAUAAAGUUCCAAUAAAAGAAGUGAGCAAUGA
rnacentral:lncRNA from 1 species